rnacentral:lncRNA from 1 species
GCCCGGACCUAUGGGAUUCAUUAUAAUCUUAAGAACAACAAGAUGCAGUAUAUAAUGAAUAAAAAAUAUCUAUUUUAUUAAUAGCAUAAAUAUCAAUUAUAUUAGUCGAAAAGAUAAAUUACAAUAAACAUCCUAUCGUAAUCUGUAUGCGAUUGGCUUGUUGGGUAUUAUUCUUUCAGUCAACAUGAAAUCGACCACUCCUUGUAGGAGGAGAGAACAUCCU